GCGCGCGUGGUGGAAUUGGCAGACACGCCAGACUUAGGAUCUGGUUCCGCAAGGAUUAGAGGUUCAAGUCCUCUCGCGCGCACCA
rnacentral:tRNA from 1 species